UUAAACACCGUUGCAGGCAGCUUGCGGGGGUUACAUUUUGACAUGGGUUUCUCUGCUUGCUGUUGCAAGCAACUGAGACAAAAAACAAUGUAGACUGGAUGGGAUGAUUCAAAGGUCACACACUGAUGGCAAAGUGCACUAAAAUGAAAAGCCCCAUAGUUCAUUGAUGUGUCUGAUAAAAUGACAUGGGGACGAGGAAAAGAGAAGAGGCUGGUUUUACCUGACUUGACUGAACCUGGUGAUGGGAAUCAUUUGUUUCCCCUCAAUAUUCAUUUCAUCAGAGGGAAAACAAGAUAUUAUUCUUGGAUUGCUGACUGGUUGAAAGAAAAGCAG
rnacentral:sRNA from 2 species